UCUGUGCAAAGGUGUUUAUUUACAAGUGAUUCCGGAACAAAAAACAACAGUACUGCCAUCAACGUCUACCUUAUGGGACAGCUUAAAAACAAUGCUGCCCCAUCCACAGCUCAAUCCAAAAAUGCCUCUCCAUGACUGAAAGAGAGGCUCCUUUUGUAGGGCUAGCCCCUCCCCUCAGAACAAUUAACCCUAAUUAAUUAAUCAAUUAACAAUACAAACCUACAUUUUCCAUGAACUAAACAUACUAAAGGAUAUACAUUGCAACACGGUUUUAACCAAUAUCACAACAUAACAUUUACAACAUUACAUCACUACUGACAAUAUCUUUCAAUAUGCCCAUAUGCAUUAAUGAGCCAUUUGGGACAGGCACUAUAAAGCCAACCCAAUUCCCUUAGCUCGGGUCCUUUUCCAGCAUACCCGGAAGCUACAGAGAUGGAGAGAGAGAACAGAACAAACAAACAAUGCGCUCAUCCACAACCUUGAUAAUGGCUGUGUUUCCCUAGCUGUCUACUGAACAGUAUGUGCGCUGGAUGGCUAUAAGAGCAGGGGCUGUGAGAGAGGGAUUCAGUCUUCUACCCAUGCUGACGCUGUCAUAGCAGUUGCCACGCUCCAGAGAGAAGAGGCUUCCCCUGCUCCUUCUACCGUGCAUAUUAAUGCAGCCUGGAUUGCCUAGCAACCAGCUCAGUGGAGACAAUGAACACCUGACGACAAGAAGUGUUUGUGACAGGGGCCAGAAUGAGAGGGAUUACAGGCUGUAGGUUUGGCAAUAGUUCAAGCCUCUCAUCCAGAUCUCCAUCCCAUCAAUACCUCAGUAGGUGGAGUAUCGACUCUGGCACUAGAGAGUGGCUGUUUGUGUUUAGCCAGUGGAUAAUUUGGUAGUUUGAGACUGCAUGGUAGAUGGAGUCAUCCCUCAUCAAAUCUCUAAAAAUGGCGAAUAAAAGUAUUGACCUGCCAUUGAGAGAAGACUCUGCCUUUACAGCAACUGAAAUAAAACAACAGUUCUAUGAAAAUGUUCAACAAUACACAGUAAUUAACACCUCACUGUUUGAGGUCAACAAUUUGAGAACUCGUACAUUAUCAUAUUUUUUUUAAUAGACACGAACUUGAGAAUGAUUUUAGGGGUCUCCCCAAUGGCUGAUUAUUUGAACACGUCUUUAGGUGCUCUAUGAAAGGCAGAAAUGGAAUCACCAUCUAUAGGAUGCUCCAUAACAAAGCCUGAUAUAGAAUGUGUCCGUUUUGAGACGAUAAACGUGUUAUUACCAGUGUACUUGACACAGUGCCGAGAAUAUAUGCAUGAGUCAAUAUGCAUUAUUAAACUAACCUGUUUGAGCUGCUCUAACACGCUAAACAGAGGGGUUCUCCAUGUUAAUCUACCAGGCAUUCCCUCGUGCUGACUGUGCAUGUAGCAAAAGUUAAAGGGCUACAUUUCAGGUCUCAUUUCAGCGCCAUGUGCAGCGCUUGCAUAUUUCGAAGCUGCGAGGGAAAGGGACUCCUGGUUAUCUCCUUACUGUGCCACUGUACCUGUUCCUGCCUUUCACAAUCUGUCCUCCCUGAAAAAGAGAGUGAAUUUCCCCGCUAAUAUUUCCUUGUAUGGCGUGCAUAUCUAGGUCUCUUCCACUGUCAGAGUAUGUAGGCUAUUAUCCUCCAUUGAAAAUGAUUACAUUACAUGAUUACAUUGAUAAGACUCACCAUCAAUGUCGUAUGUCCCUUAUAGGUUAUAAUAUAAGGUAGAGGGGUAGGUAUAACAGACAAUACCAUUUUUAAUGCUUAUGAUAAGAUAAUAACAUUAAUGUCAUGUUAGUAAACUGUUAUAAAAGCUUAAAGUGAUUAAUAUUGUAUAUGUUAAAUGCAGUGUUGAAUAUAUUCAGCAAGUUUUCAAAGUUGGGAGAGCACUUAAAUGGUGAUAUUUUGACUACUUAUCAUUGUAAUCCUUACCAGUCCCUACCCAAACAGUGUUGUUUGACGGCACAAUUUAAACAUAAUUCUAAACUGUAUUUUGAAUGUUUAUAUUGCCUCAGCAUAAUGUAUUGCUUCAGCUAAUUGAUGAGGAAAUAUCUUUAUUCUCCCUCAAUAUAUAAUUAAUCUGUCACGCCCUGGUCUUAGUAUUUUGUGUUUUCUUUAUUAUUUUGGUUAGGCCAGGGUGUGACAUGGGUUUAUUAUGUGGUGUGUUUAGUCUUGUUUUUUCUUUUGUAGGUAUUGGGAUUGUGGUAUAGUGGGAUUGUGGUAUAGUGGGGUUAUCUAGAAAAGUCUAUGGUUGCCUGAAGUGGUUCUCAAUCAGAGGCAGGUGUUUAUCGUUGUCUCUGAUUGGGAACCAUAUUUAGGCAGCCAUAUUCUUUGAGUGUUUCAUGGGUGAUUGUUCCUUUCUCUGUGUUUGUUUGCACCAGAUAGGCUGUUUAGGUUUUGUAUUGUUUGUGUUUAUUCAUUUAUUAAACAUGUAUCA